CAAUGGGGGAAACCCUGAUGCAGCGACGCCGCGUGGAGGAAGAAGGUCUUCCGAUUGUAAACUCCUGUUGUUGGGGAAGAUAAUGACGGUACCCAACAAGGAAGUGACGGCUAACUACGUGCCAGCAGCCGCGGUAAAACGUAGGUCACAAGCGUUGUCCGGAAUUACUGGGUGUAAAGGGAGCGCAGGCGGGAAGACAAGUUGGAAGUGAAAUCUAUGGGCUCAACCCAUAAACUGCUUUCAAAACUGUUUUUCUUGAGUAGUGCAGAGGUAGGCGGAAUUCCCGGUGUAGCGGUGGAAUGCGUAGAUAUCGGGAGGAACACCAGUGGCGAAGGCGGCCUACUGGGCACCAACUGACGCUGAGGCUCGAAAGUGUGGGUAGCAAACAGGAUUAGAUACCCUGGUAGUCCAAGGGCGAAUUC
rnacentral:rRNA from 1 species